GACGUAGGGCGCGAGCGUUGUCCGGAUUUAUUGGGCGUAAAGAGCUCGUAGGCGGCUUGUCGCGUCGGUCGUGAAAACCUGUGGCUCAACUACAGGCUUGCGGUCGAUACGGGCAGGCUGGAGUUCGGUAGGGGAGACUGGAAUUCCUGGUGUAGCGGUGAAAUGCGCAGAUAUCAGGAGGAACACCGGUGGCGAAGGCGGGUCUCUGGGCCGAUACUGACGCUGAGACGCGAAAGCGUGGGGAGCGAACAGG
rnacentral:rRNA from 1 species